AAAACUAUUCUGCAUUGAUUGCAAUUCUCAAACUACUAUCUAAUAUAAAAGUAAAACAAUCAUUUUAGUAUUACAUUGUUCCAAUCCAGUUCCAAAAGGGUCACAAGAUACAUCAGCUUAGCAUACAUAUUCAUGGAAGGCAAUUAGCUUCUACCCAUUUAUAUCGUAGGUAGUUGCACUUCUUUGUCGCUUAAUUGCAUAAGAGUCCUGCUCUUUGACCUUUCCACAGAGGCCACAAUGGGGGUCUGACAAUCAUUGAAACAAGCAAUAAAUUAUUUAAAUCAAAAGUUCAGUGUUCAUAAAAGCAUACCCUACAAUAGUCUUGUAACAAGGUUAGAAUAGUUCUAAAUAAUAACUGUAAAUAAUGAGCUUUUUAAAGAAUUACUGACCAUUAAGAAUUCGGUGAAACUUGUGUACUUUGUCUUGCUCACAGGAUCGUUGGGAAGCAAAAGUGGGAGAUUGUUACGAUCUUGAAUACGGAUAUUAUGAGC
rnacentral:lncRNA from 1 species